GUUCCAUCAAGUCUCAGACUUGCUUCAUGCCGACGAAAUAACUCCAUAUCUUUUUGGUGUGUUCCAAAUGACUCGUAUCAAAAUGACGUUUAAGUUUUGAAAGUUUCAUAAACUCAUGGUUGACAACAACUUUUGCAGUUGUAGUCUACCAGUUCGCGAUCGCCCAGAAAGGCCUUCGCGACCCCCAUGGGAGGUUGAAAUUUUAUAUUUCAAGUCAAGAAAUAAUGAGAAACAUAUUGUUAUUGUUAUGUUUAAGAUCUUAAAAAAAUAGAACUGCACUAUCAAAAUGGCAGGUGGAAAGUUUUCCUUAAAGACAAUGGAAAGUUUCCUCUCUGGAGAACACCAUCCUUUUUAAAGUAAAUUUAUAUAAAAGAAACAGAACUUAAAUGUAAAUAAUAAAAAAAAUCAGUAUGUAAAAAACACAUUUUAGCUGUAUCAUGUACUUUUGUAACAAUCUGUUUAUUUGAAUCUCAAAUAUAGUAAAUCAACAAUCAUGCACAAAUGGUAGUAAUUGAAAACAAACAGUGAUUAGUGAUUAAGGAUCACUGGAACAAUAAUUUCAAUAGAUACUUGUAAUAUAUAAGUUUUAUU